rnacentral:rRNA from 1 species
AGUGAACGCUGGCGGUAGGCCUAACACAUGCGAGUCGAACGGCAGCACAGUAAGAGCUUGCUCUUACGGGUGGCGAGUGGCGGACGGGUGAGGAAUACAUCGGAAUCUACUUUUUCGUGGGGGAUAACGUAGGGAAACUUACGCUAAUACCGCAUACGACCUACGGGUGAGAGCAGGGGAUCUUCGGACCUUGCGCGAUUGAAUGAGCCGAUGUCGGAUUAGCUAGUUGGCGGGGUAAAGGCCCACCAAGGCGACGAUCCGUAGCUGGUCUGAGAGGAUGAUCAGCCACACUGGAACUGAGACACGGUCCAGACUCCUACGGGAGGCAGCAGUGGGGAAUAUUGGACAAUGGGCGCAAGCCUGAUCCAGCCAUACCGCGUGGGUGAAGAAGGCCUUCGGGUUGUAAAGCCCUUUUGUUGGGAAAGAAAAGCAGCAGGUUAAUACCCCGCUGUUCUGACGGUACCCAAAGAAUAAGCACCGGCUAACUUCGUG